rnacentral:rRNA from 1 species
GACGCCUGCCCGGUGACUCAAUGUUCAACGGCCGCGGUAUCCUAACCGUGCAAAGGUAGCGCAAUCAAUUGUCCCGUAAAUCGGGACUAGUAUGAAUGGCUAAACGAGGUCUUAACUGUCUCUUACAGGCAAUCGGUGAAAUUGAUCUCCCUGUGAGAAAGCAGGGAUAACUCCAUAAGACGAGAAGACCCUGUGGAACUUUAAAAACAGCAGCCACCCUGAAAUACAUACAAACCCACCUCGGGCCCACUAUCUGCAGGCGACUGGCUAGCAUUUUUUCGGUUGGGGCGACCUUGGAGCAAAACAAAACCUCCAAAUAUUGGACCAUACCUCUAGACUGAGAGCAACACCUCAACGUGCGAAUAGCACCCAGACCCAAUACAAUUGAGCAAUGGACCAAGCUACCCCAGGGAUAACAGCGCAAUCUCCUUCAAGAGUCCAUAUCGACGAGGAGGUUUACGACCUCGAUGUUGGAUCAGGACAUCCUAGUGGUGCAGCCGCUACUAAG